CGUUGGGACAGACCCCAUACGUGGCGUUGGUUGUACCGACGUAUGGGGAGAUUUACAAUAUGAUGUUCAGGUCUCACGUGGCGUAGGUUAUCCGGCGUUGAGACAGGCCCCGUACGUGGCGUUGGUUGUACCGGCGUACGGGGAGAUUAUGUGAUAUGAUGUUGAGGUCCCGCAUGGCGUAGGUUAUCCGGCGUUGGGACAGGCCCCAUACGUGGCGUUGGUUGUACCGGCGUAUGGGGAGAAUAUGUGAAAUGCAGAGAAAGGAAAUAAGGUAUCACCGAUGUGUGGAAUUGGGUUUUAGGGAAGAACUACGUGUGGCUUGAUCCCUCAAGAAGGGUACGUAGGCAGUCUAAGGUUAUUAGGUGCAGCCGCAGACUAAAUAUUAGUCAUGAUUUGUAUUUGAAUGGUUUGGUAGUUGGAUAGGAAUUAUCGAAAGGCCGAAGGCCAUUUGUGUGAAUUGCAUGAAAUUAUAUUGUGCAUGCUGCCAGUUGGGAAUAUUAAAUGCGUUUUUAUGCAGGUUGAAAUUUUGGGAAAUGUCCAAUUUAUAGGGGAGACUCUGCCGAAAUUUCGGCAGGAAGUCUCGGUUUUUAGUAAGUGGGCCUGGCAUCGGGGUGAUGUCAGGAAUUCCAAAGGGUUCGUCUCGGGUUUUGAGAAAAUUCGGGGCGGUUCCUUAAAGUUGGUAUCAGAGCUCUAGGUUCAAUUCCCUGUGGACCCUGCACUUUAUGUGCAUCCUUAAAUUGUGGGGAUCAAAAUGGGUUCCAUCUCAGAAUGGUACAUUUGCGACGUUGAGGACGUCACAAAAGUCAAAUUAUUUCACAAAGGAAAGGUACAUAGGCCGCCGAAGCAUGAGUAGAGCUGGAGCUUUACCACAGACAGUUGUUGUUUCGGGAGGAUAUGGAGUUGAUCAACCUGCUUCUAGGGAUCCUCCAUUGCCUGAACAUGUUGCUAAUUUUCGAUUGUGUGCCUAGAGCACCGAGUCGAAGAUCCUAAGAGCAUAACCUCUCUCUGGGACGAGUAACUCCCCGACAUUGGAUCAAGGGAUCCAGGGUCUGAAGGGUGGCGUUGGUAUAAUCGAAAUCACAAGUGUCUCUUACAGAAAGAGGCUCGUGUGUGGUGGGAAUACUAUGGUCAAGUCUAAGGACGAGACCCAGAUGGAUGGAGAGAGUACCUUGGGGUCUCAUCUCACGUGAGCACGUUUGAGUAGAGAUCUUUCAUCGGAAUCAGAAAUGGAUCAUGGUCGAGAGAGAUCGACGAUGAUUACAAUUCGGUAAAAAUGAUCCUUUCUGACAUUUCUCUCAAAGAAUCAGGUUGGCAGAUUAAAGGGAGAAGUAGUGGAGUUGGGUGGAACCGUACUUCAUUCGUGUGGGCUUGAAUGCCGCGAUUGACAGGAGUGGAACAUUAGGGUUCUUCCUCCUUGCUCUCUCACGUGAGCUCGCCAUAGUUAGAGAAGGAGACUUCUCUUUCUCUGCUUGCUUAGCUAGAGCUUUUGGCUUGGUUGCCAACGCGGUUGUGGAGAAAGAACUUGGGAACCCGAGUGGUAGAUGCAGGCCCCAUGCUCACAACCCUUCGAGUGACAAGGUAGGAAAUUUCGGGGACGAAAUUUUUAUAAGGGGGGUAGUCUGUAACACCCCGACCCCAAAUUUCCCCAAAAUUUACCCUUAUUUAAUUAUUUAAUUAUUUAAGGGUAUUUUAGUCAUAUUUUUAACCGGAGAGAGUUUGGGACCGUGACUUUUAUUUUUGGAUAGGUCGUACUGAGACGAGUUCAUAGACACGUAGUGGGCUCGAAUCGGAGUUGUAACGAGAGAGAUAUGGUCAAAAGAAAUCCAGUGGCACAAUCGUAAAUAUUUCAAAAUGGGAUUUUUUUAAAAAAAACCUGGUUUUCUCUCUCUCUCUCUCUCUCCCCCGCGGGUCUCUCUCUCUCCUCUCCCUCGCGCGCGACAGCCGGCCACGUUUUGGCCGGCUGUGCUCUCCUCCGGCCACCAAUGGCGACGGGACCGGUACCAAAAUGACCAGGCAGUCGUCCUCUUCCUACCCCAGCCAGCCCCCGCCUCUAGCCGCCGCGGUUUCGCCGGAAUUUGGAGAAGAAGCGGCGGAUGUCGCCGGAACUUCAACGCCGUCGAUCUCCCUCCUCCGGCCACCAAUUCCGUCGACCCAGGUAUGGAUUUUGAACCUCUCAAGCUGCUCUAGCUGAUGGUUGGGUAGGAUUAGAUCGAUUCUUAGCAUAGAUCACUCGAUUUUCGAAUUGAAAAUCGGCCGAAACUUCGGCCGCCGUGAUCGGCCAUUUCCGGCCACUUUUUGGGGUAGGUCCAAGAACAAAAGUGGCUCCAAAUAGGGUGUUAUACCUAGGGUAGGAGUUUGGAGCCGAGAUGUUGAGAUUUUCCGGCCAAGCGUUAUCGCUUUGGGCACCCACACGCUGCCGGCGCUUGCGGCGGCGCGUGGGCACUGUAGAAAAAGUAGCGAUGUGUUCCAAUGAGAUCCUUAGGUUGUCACGAGUGCGUAGGAUUUUGCGGAUCUCAAUUCGGACGUCGUUUGACUAUCGAACGGAUAAUCGCAUAUUAUGCGUUAUCCGGGUUCGAUAGGUUGGGACCGUCGGAUGGUCCCAAAUUUAAUAUAUGUUAAUCUAGGUAUUUCUAGGAUCGUGUAGGAAUUCACGGAUCGUGAAUCGGAGCCCCGGAUGUUCCGAAUAAUAAUUUUAAAUUUAUAUUUUAUAUUAACCGUCAGAUCGUGCGAUCGUGAGCAAUCCGACCGUCCGAUCUGAACCAAACUUGCAGGACAAGUGUCCUAUACCUGGUAGAACCCAUAGGGACUUCCGGAUCGGAAAUUGGAGGUCGUGGGUUUUGCAGGUCCGGUUGACCAGGGUUAGAGUAGUUUGACCCUUGGUUGACCGUGAGUCUCCCGGAGUAAUCUCACCUUUCUAGGGGGGAUUAUCGGGUGCUAGAUGAUUGUGGAGGGUUACACAAUAUUAAAAUUAAUUUAUAUAACUAUAAUUAUAUAUGGUUGUACAAGGGUACAACAGAGUCUAGAAUGUCAGUUUGGAGUGCUAUACGCACUACUUUAGGUACCUCCCCAGAUUUUGGAUUCACUGCAAGCACCACCAAGUGAAAGUUAGGUCCCGCGUGGCGUAGGUUAUCCGGCGUUGGGACAGACCCCAUACGUGGCGUUGGUUGUACCGGCGUAUGGGGAGAUUUGCAAUAUGAUGUUCAGGUCUCACGUGGCGUAGGUUAUCCGGCGUUGAGACAGGCCCCGUACGUGGCGUUGGUUGUACCGGCGUACGGGGAGAUUAUGUGAUAUGAUGUUGAGGUCCCGCGUGGCGUAGGUUAUCCGGCGUUGGGACAGGCCCCAUACGUGGCGUUGGUUGUACCGGCGUAUGGGGAGUUAUGUGAUAUGAUAGUAUGGCAUGGUCGCACGUGGCGUAGGUUAUCCGGCGUGUUGACAGGCCCCAUACGUGGCGUUGGUUGUACCGGCGUAUGGGGAGAAUAUGUGAAAUGCAGAGAAAGGAAAUAAGGUAUCACCGAUGUGUGGAAUUGGGUUUUAGGGAAGAACUACGUGUGGCUUGAUCCCUCAAGAAGGGUACGUAGGCAGCCUAAGGUUAUUAGGUGCAGCCGCAGACUAAAUAUUAGUCAUGAUUUGUAUUUGAAUGGUUUGGUAGUUGGAUAGGAAUUAUCGAAAGGCCGAAGGCCAUUUGUGUGAAUUGCAUGAAAUUAUAUUGUGUAUGCUGCCAGUUGGGAAUAUUAAAUGCGUUUUUAUGCAGGUUGAAAUUUUGGGAAAUGUCCAAUUUAUAGGGGAGACUCUGCCGAAAUUUCGGCAGGAAGUCUCGGUUUUUAGUAAGUG
rnacentral:lncRNA from 1 species